AUUGAACGCUGGCGGAAUGCUUUACACAUGCAAGUCGAACGGUAGAGGGGGCAACCCCUCGAGAGUGGCGAACGGGUGAGUAAUAUAUCGGAACGUGCCCAGUCGUGGGGGAUAACGUAGCGAGAGUUACGCUAAUACCGCAUACGAUCUAAGGAUGAAAGCGGGGGACCGUAAGGCCUCGCGCGAUUGGAGCGGCCGAUAUCAGAUUAGGUAGUUGGUGAGGUAAGGGCUCACCAAGCCAACGAUCUGUAGCGGGUCUGCGAGGACGACCAGCCAAACUGGAACGGAGACACGGUCCAGACUCCUACGGGAGGAGGCAGUGGGGAAUUUUGGACAAUGGACGCAAGUCUGAUCCAGCCAUUCCGCGUGCAGGAUGAAGGCCCUCGGGUUGUAAACUGCUUUUGUACGGAACGAAAAGGUCUCUCCUAAUACGAGGGGCUCAUGACGGUACCGUAAGAAUAAGCACCGGCUAACUACGUGCCAGCCGCCGCGGUAAGAC
rnacentral:rRNA from 1 species